ACUCAAUCUUGUUGUUUCUCUCAGAUCAUAAGGUAUAUAUUUGGCACAAGCGCAGCGAGCUGCCGAUCGUGGAGUUGACUGGACACACACGCACAGUGAACUGUGUCAGCUGGAACCCUUGUAUUCCCAAUCUUAUGGCCAGCGCUUCUGACGACGGCACAGUCCGUAUCUGGGGACCCGCACCCUUCCUGGACGCACAAGAGCAGGACACCCUCAAUGAGAGUUGCAGCAGUAUGGACAGUUGAUGGCAGCCCUGGAACAGAAGACUUGUCGCAUCGGAAAAUGCGAAAUCCAACAGAGAAAAACACGAUUACAGCAUUGUCCUCCUCCACAACAACGCACGAGUCCAAACGCGAAAGAGUUUCAGAGCCUCGCUUUCAGGUGUCCGGAAGCAGCAGAGACCUGACGCUGAUUCGACCCGCUUCCAUACCGACGGAUCUGAUCUCUUUCCCUCCACGGCUGUUCCCACAUUAUUACCCUUUCAUUAGGCCUGAAGACGAGAGCUGGAGCGCCCGGACGGGUGUAUAAACUCACACUCAAUGUUUUUCUCUCUCUCGCUCUCAAUCCUCCAGCGGCAGAGGACGAAACACUUUUUUUAAAGAAAUACUAGUCCUAGCAAUUCUCUCUUUCGUUCCUUUAGCAGUUGAUCAGCUUGGGCUUUAGUGUUGAUGAUGGAGUGCUGUAGUUUUUCCGUUUUUUUUUUUUUUUAAUCUUUCAGAACACAAAUGCAUUGGUUUCAACCGGACUCGCACGCAUCAGCAGGGGUCAGAGGUCGCCGUUUCGAUCUCUGAGAGUUUAAAUGUUCGACUGAAUUCUGCUUCGGCCUCCCUCCUGUAGCACAGCCCGCGUGUGAGAGUGUGAGUGUUCAAAUGUGCCUAAAGUUGGUGUACGUUCGCAUGUGGCACUGCUCUCACACCAGCGUGAGUGUGUCCCUUGUUUAGCCGUGCGAAUCGUUUUAACAGAAUCUGAUCGAAGCCCCAGAGACCUUCAUCUGUGGAACAAAAACUUGAGAAGCAUUUUUUGUUUUUUAAAAAGCAAGCUAUUAGCGAAGUUCCUCGUUUUCACCACUUAGCUUAGAGGUGGCGUUCGGGAGAGAGACUUUGUAAUAUUAGUACAAAAAUAAAUCGACUUUGAGGGCGAAACGCACAGCUUUAAACAGAAAGAUACUGUGACACUCAAAAUGUCAAUCAGAUAUUCGGCUCCUGAUGAGGAGUUUGUGGCGUAUAAAUGACCUAUGCAGCAACGUUUGAGCUGAGAGCCCCCAUAUAAAGUCACUCGCAGCAGCCAUACCAGCAUUAAAAUAAACCGUCUUCAAAUCCACAAUGAUUUCAUCCACACGAAAGCUCUGCCUGUACGCUAGUUCAGUUAUAUCCACACAGUCACGUUCUCUGAUCUGAGCUGUUUCCACCAAAUAUCCAGCUUUUGAGUCCCGUUUUAGGAGAGAAAUAUUUGCUAUGGACUGAUAUUAAAUGUUUGAAAAGAAAUGCUUUUCUGCCUGUUUUUAUGGAAGUUUUUGUUACUUUUUUUGGUUUACAAUAUUUUGUUUUUUUGGUUGACUUUAUCUCUGUAUCAUUAUAUUAAACUAUAACCAGAUAAA